rnacentral:rRNA from 1 species
AGCAUGGGGUAGCAAUACUCUGAUGGCGACCGGCAAACGGGUGCGGAACACGUACGCAACCUUCCUUUAACUGGAGAAUAGCCCCUCGAAAGAGGGAUUAAUACUCCGUAACAUGAUGAUUCCGCAUGGGAUUAUCAUUAUAGCUCCGGCGGUUAGAGAUGGGCGUGCGCCUGAUUAGGUAGUUGGCGGGGUAACGGCCCACCAAGCCUGCGAUCAGUAACUGGUGUGAGAGCACGACCAGUCACACGGGCACUGAGACACGGGCCCGACUCCUACGGGAGGCAGCAGUAAGGAAUAUUGGUCAAUGGACGCAAGUCUGAACCAGCCAUGCCGCGUGGAGGAUUAAGGCCCUCUGGGUUGUAAACUCCUUUUAUCUGGGAAGAAAUCCAUAUAUUCUUAUGUGGUUGACGGUACCAGAGGAAUAAGCACCGGCUAACUCCGUGCCAGCAGCCGCGGUAAUACGGAGGGUGCAAGCGUUAUCCGGAUUCACUGGGUUUAAAGGGUGCGUAGGCGGGUAAGUAAGUCCGUGGUGAAAUCUCUGAGCUUAACUCAGAAACUGCCGUGGAUACUAUUUGCCUUGAAUAUUGUGGAGGUGAGCGGAAUAUGUCAUGUAGCGGUGAAAUGCUUAGAUAUGACAUAGAACACCAAUUGCGAAGGCAGCUCACUACACAAUCAUUGACGCU